AAGUGGAGCAAUCCAUGAGUAAAGCGGCGCACGGGUGAGUAACACGUGACUAACCUACCCUCGAGUGGGGAAUAACCUGGGGAAACCCGGGCUAAUACCGCAUAACACCUACGGGUCAAAGGAGCAAUCCGCUUGAGGAGGGGGUCGCGGCAGAUUAGUUAGUUGGCGGGGUAAUGGCCCACCAAGACGAUGAUCUGUAUCCGGCCUGAGAGGGCGCACGGACACACUGGAACUGAAACACGGUCCAGACACCUACGGGAGGCAGCAGUGGGGAAUUUUGCGCAAUGGGGGAAACCCUGACGCAGCAACGCCGCGUGGAGGAUGAAGUCCCUUGGG
rnacentral:rRNA from 1 species